UUUUUAUCAGUUUAGUAUCUGAUAUGUCCUCUAUCCCAGGACAAUAUAUUAAAUGGAUUUUGGGAAUUAGGAGUUGGAAUAGGAGCUUGCUUUGUCCAAGCCACGCAUCGACCUGGUAUUGCAGUGCCUCCAGGAGCAGUGC
ensembl:snRNA U2 U2 spliceosomal RNA